rnacentral:ncRNA from 1 species
UGGCAAAUCAAUCGAAAGGUUGAGACGCAAAGCUACGGUGUCUAAACGCAUUGACGCAUGAUCGACCGGCUGCAA